rnacentral:misc_RNA from 1 species
UUUCGUGUUCGGCCGCGCUGACGACCCUGAUCUUUUGCCCUGAAAUUGCCGAUGCUUUUCAGUCAUGGUCAAAUAGAGUUUUGCCGAGUCUACUUGUACGCGCUUCUUGCCGCUGACCCCAGCACCAUAAAUUUUGACUAUUACAAAAUGGCAAAGACGCUGUCGGCGAAAAUCGGCCCAUCCAUACUAAACGCAGAUUUAUCUAAAUUGCAUGAUGAAUCUCAGCGACUUCUGGAUUGCGGAGCAGAUUACCUGCACCUGGACGUAAUGGAUGGACACUUCGUCCCUAACCUUACAUUCGGUCAUCCCCUGGUCAAGUGUCUUCGCAAUAAAAUAAAAGAUUGUUUCUUCGAGACGCAUAUGAUGGUUUCAAAUCCUAUACAGUGGAUUUCUCCUAUGGCAGAUGCAGGUGUCGAUCAAUACACGUUCCACGUUGAGCCAGUAGACAACGUGCCACUAAUAUGCAGAAAAAUCAAAGAGGCUGGUAUGAAGGUUGGAGUGGCUCUGAAGCCUGGGACACCAGUCGACGUCGUAGCCAAUUAUGUAGAAUUAACAGAUAUGGUACUGGUGAUGACCGUCGAGCCAGGAUUUGGAGGUCAAAAAUUCAUGGGGGAAAUGAUGGAUAAGGUCAGAUGGCUAAGAACAAAUUAUCCUACACUGGACAUUGAAGUAGAUGGAGGUGUUGGCCCAAGCACGAUACAUGCUUGUGCAGAAGCUGGUGCAAAUAUGAUAGUUUCAGGAACUGCUGUGAUAGGAGCUGAUGAUGCAGGCGCCGUUAUUGCUCAGUUGAAAGACACAGUGAAUGCUGUGCUGAACAGGAGAUGAAAGGAUUCGGAUUCCUGAGAGCGAAAUACAUUAGAUCAGCCUGAGCAACUCUUCAAAAAGAAUACAACUUCUCAUCUCAGAUUUGGAGAAAUAUCCAAGGAUAGGCUUGGCAUAUAUUCGGGGUAGAACGUGAAGUAAUCUCGAUAUCAAUUGCGGGAUGCUUUUGAGUCACACAUGCAACCCACGAAGCAGUUUGGCCUCUUAUCGAAAAUACCAGACGAUCCUCGGGGCAUCUACGAAGCCUAUCGUCGUAUUUUCGUUGCGAGGAAUUUGUAUAAAUGAGUGAUGCAUUUUUUGUUAACAAAGACUAUCAAUUUAUUAUUACAAUGUUGAUUGAAAUCAAAGUAUUGUACGAAAUAUUUAUAAUGAAUAAGUAAUGUUAUAAAUAUGAACGUGCUGUAUACAUUUUGACUAUUGUUUGCAAAUUAUCAAAUUGUUAAUAUGAUGUUAAUCGAAUAGAAGUAUUGUAAGAAUAUAUUGUAAGCACACUAUUUAAGUCGUUAUACUCAUAGAGGAUAGAUGUAUCUGUGAGGAGGUAACCUUCAUGGCAUUAUACGAUGUCUCAACAUGUAUUUAUGAACGUUGAUUUAUUAAUAAACAUCAACGACUAUCAAUACCCAAUUGUUAAUUUACUAUCUAUAACACCCCUCCACAUUUCAUUCGUGAAUCAUUAGGACAUCAAAUGUCUACAUUAUGAAUGAUGUAUCGAUAUUUAUUUGGUACACUAAUGAGAAAUCAUGCAGAUACACUGAUGAGUCUUGUUUCCUAGAUGCAGGGAAGAGAUUCUCUGAAGCUGCCAAUUCUCCACCCGUAAUAGAAGAGAAAAGAGUUAUUAAUUGGGAUACAACUGAAUUGUAGAAUAACUGAGUGAUGAGUCAUCGUUAACAUUGCGAGUUGGGGCCAAAUAUAAUAAGAUAUUCGGAUAGAGCUUAUUAUUGAGUGUUCCUCGGGUUGGAAUACAGUUUAAAGGUUCCAACAAUUUCCUAAUAACUCAGCAUUCUUCAUAUUAACUGCUCCGAGAAGAAUGUCCUUAUCUCUGGAACGUCUUGAACAGUGCUUACGCAGAUGACAUGACACGAUAUAAAGAAUCAGUGUUGACCAAAUGAGAACCACGUAA